rnacentral:rRNA from 1 species
UAAUACGUAGGGUGCGAGCGUUAAUCGGAAUUACUGGGCGUAAAGCGUGCGCAGGCGGUUUUGUAAGCCAGACGUGAAAUCCCCGGGCUUAACCUGGGAAUGGCGUUUGGGACUGCAAGGCUUGAGUAUGGCAGAGGGGACUAGAAUUCCUGGUGUAGCAGUGAAAUGCGUAGAUAUCAGGAGGAAUACCGAUGGCGAAGGCAGGUCCCUGGGUUAAUACUGACGCUCAUGCACGAAAGCGUGGGGAGCAAACAGGAUUAGAUACCCUGGUAGUCCACGCCCUAAACUAUGUCAACUGGUUGUUGGGGGUUUGACACUCUCAGUAACGAAGCUAACGCGUGAAGUUGACCGCCUGGGGAGUACGGCCGCAAGGUUAAAACUUAAAGGAAUUGACGG